GGCAGUGGGUCAGUGGUAGAGCGCUUGCUUGGUAUGUAUGAGGCACUGGGUUCAAUCCUCAGCACCA
rnacentral:tRNA from 1 species